CACGAACCGUACGAACGUUAUUCGGAAUUACUGGGCUUAAAGGGUUUGUAGGCGGCCUUGUAAGUCAGGUGUGAAAUCCCUCGGCUCAACCGAGGAAUGGCGCUUGAUACUGCACGGCUUGAGGGAGACAGGGGUAAGCGGAACUGAUGGUGGAGCGGUGAAAUGCGUUGAUAUCAGGAGGAACACCGGUGGCGAAGGCGGGUCUCUGGGCCGAUACUGACGCUGAGGAGCGAAAGCGUGGGGAGCGAACAGG
rnacentral:rRNA from 1 species